AGCAGCGUGGCCUAGUGGAAAAAGCACCGGCCUGGGUGUCAGAGGACCUGGGUUCUAAUCCCAGCUCUGCCA
rnacentral:tRNA from 1 species